GCGGGGUAGCCUAGUGGACAUGGCAUCUACCCGGUAAGCGGAACAUUGUAGGUUCGAUUCCCAUCCUUGGACA
rnacentral:tRNA from 1 species